CAUGUGAAGGCCAUCUGAGUGCAUUUCCGGGGGAUGCUCUUCAGGGUCAGGCCACUCCUUGAGGUCUUCAGGAGCAAGUUCAUUAAUAUCAUUUUCAGGAGC